rnacentral:lncRNA from 1 species
UAGGAUAAGUGGAUAUGGAAGGUUAAAUGUAAGACCACUGUCCACAAUGUGAAUCUUUUUGCUCUUCACAUCUAGUGGCUCAUAUAUCCUCUCAAACUCAUCAGGAUCUGCAACGGCUGCAUCUAGCUCAUCUUCCUCCACAGAUUCCUGAGUCAGGAGGUCUGCCAGAGGAGACAGUGGGUAACAGCUGUUGAGGUUCAAUCCCAGCAUGAAGUUGUGCACUUUCCCAGCACGCCCUUCCCUGGUAUUGAAAAGGGCACUAUCACCCACCAAAGCCAU